rnacentral:rRNA from 1 species
AUUGAACGCUGGCGGCAGGCCUAACACAUGCAAGUCGAGCGAGAAAGGUCUUCGGACUGAGUACAGCGGCGGACGGGUGAGUAAAGCGUAGGAAUCUACCUGGUAGUGGGGGAUAACUUGGGGAAACUCAAACUAAUACCGCAUACGCCCUACGGGGAAAGGACGGGGGACCGUUCGGGCCGUCGCGCUAUCAGAUGAGCCUGCGUAGGAGUUAGCUAGUUGGUUGAGGUAAAGGACGUCACCAAGGACGACGAUCCUUAGCUGGUCUGAGAGGAUGAUCAGCCACACUGGGACGUGAGACACGGCCC